UUAUUUAAGAUCACUGCAUUCUAAAAACACUGUUGCAAGGUUGCUUUGUUUACGCACACUAAAUUAGCCUACUAAUCUAUACUUCAUAGAUCCAGUUAAACCCCGGUUUCUUCUUCCAAAAUAAAGAUGUUUAGAUACUUUUUUUCUUGGGGGGGGGAUAUUAAAAUGCUAGGGUAACAGAGAAGAAAAUGCAGAAACACAGAACAAGAUCCAUAGUUAGAUGUUUAGACCCUUCCCUUUCAAACUAUCUAGCCUAUUUUAGUAUCUCUUUCAUUCUUUUGGCCAAUAAUUAACAAGUACCCCCCCCAAAAAAAAACCCCUACACCAGCCUGGAGCUUUGUUUGAAAGCUGUUUUGUUUACAAAAUAAUAUUUAUUGUCAGGAGAUUUCUCCCUCCCGCCACAUCUCUUACCUCCGGAGCGUUUACACUUUUCGCUUAGCUGGAGGGAAUGUGGAACUGAGAUUUGGCCCUGGAUAUAAUCUCCCCGUCUCUUUCCCUCUCCCUCUCUCUCCCUCUCCCUCUUUCUGUAUAGAUCUGGCACGGCUUUGCUCUCUUAACUCCCAGAUCUUUGUUUCGGUGGUGGCGGCCAGAAAGAGCAAGAGAGCGCUGUGCUCUCAACUUCCCUCUGGCUUCCUUUAAAAACAACAACACACAAGUCCUCUUCCAACUUUUCCUCCAGUUAUUCACUUCUCAACCCUACUGACAGCAUUUGCCGAAAAUCUACACUCCAGCUUUGGUUAAUAGCUGAACCCAAGAACAGGGCAAGCAGUCACUUCGGCCAGCUUGCAUAAAGUUGGUUGUCCAACCUUACAGAGCCAUGUCUUACAGAAGCACAACACGCCUCCACUGGAAUUCAGGGAUUUAAUGUCACCAGCCCCAUGCUGUGGGACAUUCUUUCAGCAGAGAUUUGACAGGCUUGCUAGCUUUUUGCCUUUCAAGCUUUGAAGAUCUUUUAAUGCCAACUAGCCUGUGCCAUUGUUUGAAAUGUUCUUGAGUAGCCAAUCAUCUUAAUGAUUGUGCUGUACUGCUUUUAAUGGUUUCUAAAAUGUGCUUUGUAUUGCUUUGCACUGCCCUGAUAUGUGUGAGAGUGCGGCAUAUAAAUACAAAUGAAAUAAAGGAAAACAUCGGGACAUAGCAUUUUCUGAAAAAACUGAUGCAUAGACUUUGUGUGGCUAGAGGGCAAAAACACAUUAUACUUUUAUGAUGGACUGCUGGCCAUUCAUCUAACAAAGAUUCUACAGGGCAAAUUGCACAUGCCGCAUUCCACAAUAUAUGGUUGUUAACAGCUUCCUUUAUAUUGAUACCAGCAACUUUCGGACUCUUUAUAUUGAUAUCAGCAACUUGGCUAUUAUUGUUUAGAUCUGAACUAUGCUUUCAGGUUGGGUUGAAGUGGUGGAAUGGUCAGUUUGCCCCCCCC